CUUAUGGCCACAUUGAAACACCAGUUCCCAUAUGAUCACUGAAGUUAAGCAACGUUGAGCCUGGUCAGUACCUAGAUGGGUGACUGCUUGGAAAUUCCA